AACAGUGCUAGGUUAGCCUACAGAAAGACAGACCGCCAGAAGAGAGAAAGACUCAUGGAACAUUCCCUCAGAAACUUCAAAAGAACAGCAGUAACAGCGUGAUUCACUACUGCAAGGCUCGGGCGGUUGUGAUUGGGUGGCUGUGCCACUGCAGGGGCCCUGGGCUCCGGACAAUGUGCCUACUACUGCAGCCUCCAUCCCUGCAGACUGGAUACUCAGCGAGAGAGGCACCACCUAAUGCCUUCCUUAUGGACUGACUGACUGGCCCUGCAGAGAGAAGGCAUGGGCGCCACCGGCUGGACAGCAGGCAGGUUCUUACUGGUGGCCCCGUUGACGAAGGAUGAGGAAGAGGUGGAGGAAGAGGAGGCUGAGUCUGUAGCUCCUGCAGGGAACAAACACACCAACCAACGUCACACUGGGAGAAGAAUGGGAGCAGAAGUAUACAACUUUAUUAUAUAACCAAGUAUAUAACUAUAUUAUAUACCCACGUACUGUAUACAACUAUAUUAUAUACCCAAGUACUGUAUACAACUAUACAGUACAGAUUAUGACUAUACAGUACAGUAUAAAACUUCAUUAGAUAACUAAAUAUACAACUAUAUUAUAUACCCAAGUUCUGUAUACAACUAUAUUAUAUACCCAAGUAUACAACUGUACAAUACAGAAUACAACUAUACAGUACAGUAUACAACUCAAUUACAUAACCAACUAUAGAAAUACACAGUAUACAACUCCAUUAUACAGUAUACAACUAUACAUUAUAGCAUACACUAUACAACUAUAUUAUAUACCCAAGAACAGAAAUAUACAGUAUACACCUCCAUUAUAUACCCAAUUAUAAACUGGGUGGUUCGA